rnacentral:rRNA from 1 species
GAUGAACGCUAGCGGCAGGCUUAACACAUGCAAGUCGAGGGGUAUUGGUUUUCGGACCAAGAGACCGGCGCACGGGUGCGUAACGCGUAUGCAAUCUACCUUUUGCAGAGGGAUAGCCCCAGAGAAAUUUGGAUUAAUACCUCAUAGUAUAGUACUUUGGCAUCAAGGAACUAUUAAAGUCACAACGGCAAAAGAUGAGCAUGCGUCCCAUUAGCUAGUUGGUAAGGUAACGGCUUACCAAGGCUACGAUGGGUAGGGGUCCUGAGAGGGAGAUCCCCCCACACUGGUACUGAGACACGGACCAGACUCCUACGGGAGGCAGCAGUGAGGAAUAUUGGACAAUGGGGCGCAAGCCUGAUCCAGCCAUGCCGCGUGCAGGAUGACGGUCCUAUGGAUUGUAAACUGCUUUUAUACAGGAAGAAACACUCCGACGUGUCGGAGCUUGACGGUACUGUAAGAAUAAGGAUCGGCUAACUCCGUGCCAGCAGCCGCGGU